rnacentral:rRNA from 1 species
GGGUUGUGAGGUUAAGCGACUAAGCGUACACGGUGGAUGCCCUGGCAGUCAGAGGCGAUGAAGGACGUGCUAAUCUGCGAUAAGCGUCGGUAAGGUGAUAUGAACCGUUAUAACCGGCGAUUUCCGAAUGGGGAAACCCAGUGUGAUUCGUCACACUAUCAUUAACUGAAUCCAUAGGUUAAUGAGGCGAACCGGGGGAACUGAAACAUCUAAGUACCCCGAGGAAAAGAAAUCAACCGAGAUUCCCCCAGUAGCGGCGAGCGAACGGGGAGGAGCCCAGAGCCUGAAUCAGUGUGUGUGUUAGUGGAAGCGUCUGGAAAGGCGCGCGAUACAGGGUGACAGCCCCGUACACAAAAAUGCACAUACUGUGAGCUCGAUGAGUAGGGCGGGACACGUGGUAUCCUGUCUGAAUAUGGGGGGACCAUCCUCCAAGGCUAAAUACUCCUGACUGACCGAUAGUGAACCAGUACCGUGAGGGAAAGGCGAAAAGAACCCCGGCGAGGGGAGUGAAAAAGAACCUGAAACCGUGUACGUACAAGCAGUGGGAGCCUCUUUAUGGGGUGACUGCGUACCUUUUGUAUAAUGGGUCAGCGACUUAUAUUCUGUAGCAAGGUUAACCGAAUAGGGGAGCCGAAGGGAAACCGAGUCUUAACUGGGCGUUAAGUUGCAGGGUAUAGACCCGAAACCCGGUGAUCUAGCCAUGGGCAGGUUGAAGGUUGGGUAACACUAACUGGAGGACCGAACCGACUAAUGUUGAAAAAUUAGCGGAUGACUUGUGGCUGGGGGUGAAAGGCCAAUCAAACCGGGAGAUAGCUGGUUCUCCCCGAAAGCUAUUUAGGUAGCGCCUCGUGAAUUCAUCUCCGGGGGUAGAGCACUGUUUCGGCAAGGGGGUCAUCCCGACUUACCAACCCGAUGCAAACUGCGAAUACCGGAGAAUGUUAUCACGGGAGACACACGGCGGGUGCUAACGUCCGUCGUGAAGAGGGAAACAACCCAGACCGCCAGCUAAGGUCCCAAAGUCAUGGUUAAGUGGGAAACGAUGUGGGAAGGCCCAGACAGCCAGGAUGUUGGCUUAGAAGCAGCCAUCAUUUAAAGAAAGCGUAAUAGCUCACUGGUCGAGUCGGCCUGCGCGGAAGAUGUAACGGGGCUAAACCAUGCACCGAAGCUGCGGCAGCGACACUGUGUGUUGUUGGGUAGGGGAGCGUUCUGUAAGCCUGUGAAGGUGUGCUGUGAGGCAUGCUGGAGGUAUCAGAAGUGCGAAUGCUGACAUAAGUAACGAUAAAGCGGGUGAAAAGCCCGCUCGCCGGAAGACCAAGGGUUCCUGUCCAACGUUAAUCGGGGCAGGGUGAGUCGACCCCUAAGGCGAGGCCGAAAGGCGUAGUCGAUGGGAAACAGGUUAAUAUUCCUGUACUUGGUGUUACUGCGAAGGGGGGACGGAGAAGGCUAUGUUGGCCGGGCGACGGUUGUCCCGGUUUAAGCGUGUAGGCUGGUUUUCCAGGCAAAUCCGGAAAAUCAAGGCUGAGGCGUGAUGACGAGGCACUACGGUGCUGAAGCGACAAAUGCCCUGCUUCCAGGAAAAGCCUCUAAGCAUCAGGUAACAUCAAAUCGUACCCCAAACCGACACAGGUGGUCAGGUAGAGAAUACCAAGGCGCUUGAGAGAACUCGGGUGAAGGAACUAGGCAAAAUGGUGCCGUAACUUCGGGAGAAGGCACGCUGAUAUGUAGGUGAAGCGACUUGCUCGUGGAGCUGAAAUCAGUCGAAGAUACCAGCUGGCUGCAACUGUUUAUUAAAAACACAGCACUGUGCAAACACGAAAGUGGACGUAUACGGUGUGACGCCUGCCCGGUGCCGGAAGGUUAAUUGAUGGGGUUAGCGGUAACGCGAAGCUCUUGAUCGAAGCCCCGGUAAACGGCGGCCGUAACUAUAACGGUCCUAAGGUAGCGAAAUUCCUUGUCGGGUAAGUUCCGACCUGCACGAAUGGCGUAAUGAUGGCCAGGCUGUCUCCACCCGAGACUCAGUGAAAUUGAACUCGCUGUGAAGAUGCAGUGUACCCGCGGCAAGACGGAAAGACCCCGUGAACCUUUACUAUAGCUUGACACUGAACAUUGAGCCUUGAUGUGUAGGAUAGGUGGGAGGCUUUGAAGUGUGGACGCCAGUCUGCAUGGAGCCGACCUUGAAAUACCACCCUUUAAUGUUUGAUGUUCUAACGUUGGCCCCUUAUCGGGGUUGCGGACAGUGUCUGGUGGGUAGUUUGACUGGGGCGGUCUCCUCCUAAAGAGUAACGGAGGAGCACGAAGGUUGGCUAAUCCUGGUCGGACAUCAGGAGGUUAGUGCAAUGGCAUAAGCCAGCUUGACUGCGAGCGUGACGGCGCGAGCAGGUGCGAAAGCAGGUCAUAGUGAUCCGGUGGUUCUGAAUGGAAGGGCCAUCGCUCAACGGAUAAAAGGUACUCCGGGGAUAACAGGCUGAUACCGCCCAAGAGUUCAUAUCGACGGCGGUGUUUGGCACCUCGAUGUCGGCUCAUCACAUCCUGGGGCUGAAGUAGGUCCCAAGGGUAUGGCUGUUCGCCAUUUAAAGUGGUACGCGAGCUGGGUUUAGAACGUCGUGAGACAGUUCGGUCCCUAUCUGCCGUGGGCGCUGGAGAACUGAGGGGGGCUGCUCCUAGUACGAGAGGACCGGAGUGGACGCAUCACUGGUGUUCGGGUUGUCAUGCCAAUGGCACUGCCCGGUAGCUAAAUGCGGAAGAGAUAAGUGCUGAAAGCAUCUAAGCACGAAACUUGCCCCGAGAUGAGUUCUCCCUGACUCCUUGAGAGUCCUGAAGGAACGUUGAAGACGACGACGUUGAUAGGCCGGGUGUGUAAGCGCAGCGAUGCGUUGAGCUAACCGGUACUAAUGAACCGUGAGGCUUAACCUUACAACGCCGAAGGUGUUU